rnacentral:tRNA from 1 species
AGUAAGGUGCCUGAUUAAAGGGUUAAUUUGAUAGAUUAAAUAACGAACAG